rnacentral:rRNA from 1 species
UACGAAGGGGGCUAGCCGUUGCUCGGAAUCACUGGGCGUAAAGGGUGCGUAGGCGGGUCUUUAAGUCAGGGUGAAAUCCUGGAGCUCAACCUCCAGAACUGCCUUUGAUACUGAAGAUCUUGAGUUCGGGAGAGGUGAGUGGAACUGCGAGUGUAGAGGUGAAAUUCGUAGAUAUUCGCAAGAACACCAGUGGCGAAGGCGGCUCACUGGCCCGAUACUGACGCUGAGGCACGGAAAGCGUGGGGAGCCAAACAGG